rnacentral:rRNA from 1 species
GUUAGGAAUCUUCCACAAUGGGGGCAACCCUGAUGGAGCAACACCGCGUGCUGGAUGAAGGCCUUCGGGUCGUAAACAGCUUUUGUAUACGAAGAAUAUGACGGUAAUAUACGAAUAAGGGUCGGCUAACUACGUGCCAGCAGCCGCGGUCAUACGUAGGACCCAAGCGUUAUCCGGAGUGACUGGGCGUAAAGAGUUGCGUAGGCGGCUUAUUAAGCGAGUAGUGAAAUCUGGUGGCUCAACCAUCAACACAUUGCGCGAACUGAUAGGCUUGAGAAUGGUAGAGGUAGUUGGAAUUUCUUGUGUAGGAGUGAAAUCCGUAGAUAUAAGAAGGAACACCAAUGGCGUAGGCAGACUACUGGACCAUUUCUGACGCUGAGGCACGAAAGCGUGGGGAGCGAACCGGAUUAGAUACCCUUGUAGUCC